rnacentral:rRNA from 1 species
UACGUAGGUGGCGAGCGUUGUCCGGAUUUACUGGGCGUAAAGAGCGCGCAGGCGGUCGUUCAAGUCGCGUGUGAAAGCCCCCGGCUCAACUGGGGAGGGUCACGCGAUACUGCUCGACUCGAAGGCAGGAGAGGGAAAUGGAAUUCCCGGUGUAGUGGUGAAAUGCGUAGAUAUCGGGAGGAACACCAGUGGCGAAGGCGACUUCCUGGCCUGUUCUUGACGCUGAGGCGCGAAAGCUAGGGUAGCAAACGGG